AUGCGGCGGCACUUUGAAAAAAUCUCCUCUUUUACGUUUCGGGAGAGAAAACAAGUAACUCACCUCUCGCAACACAUCCCAACGCUCCUCAUUCAUUGAUCAAAGAUGCACAAAGGUUUGUUGCGCCAUAUCCAGGGAAAAUCUCUGUGGCGUUCCGCAAGAGGCCACUUGGAUACCUCGUCAAAAGAAGCUCGACGGAUUAAAAAUGACCCCAAGCUUCAGGACAAGUCUGCACCUGUGAGGGAAGACGAUGCUCUGACUGUCAUCUAUCAGAGAGGAGGCGAUGCCUCCAACAUGAAGGAAGUGCAGGGAGAGUACAUCCUGCAGUUUGGAAAGUAUAAAGGGAAAUCUUUCCGGUGGCUUCUGGAGAAUGAUGUCGGGUACACCAUGUACCUGAUCAAAGAUCUCAGGAAAGAAGUGGAUGCAGGGACCUCUUUGGAAGAAGGGCAUGGCAAGGAGAGCUUGCAUUCAUUUGUACAGUAUACCCUCAGCUUUGCAGAGAUAAAAGCUCUUCUGGACUAUGAGGCCAGCAGAGUGAGUGUUGCUGCAGAAGCCUCUGAGGAUGAUCAGCUGGUUGGCUUUGGCUCAUGAGCCAAGAGCACCUGGAAGGAGAUUUGGGACGGCAGAGGUGACGGCUAUGCAGACCUUAUCAUGAGGAAGAGCUGCAGUCAAGGAACACGGAUGCAUAAGCUGCAGCAGUCUGCGCCUGCUUCCACAAAUGCUCCAACUAAACCCCUGGGGAUGGAUGAGGAUAAAGACCUGGAGGACGCAAUGCUGAGCAUGUCACCUGUAAAACUACACAUGCAGAGCUUCACUGUGCCAGCAGCAGCAGGGUCCACACCCAGAGGAGCUUCAGGAGCAAACACAGGUUUUCAAAUGAAAGGUUUCAGAACUGGAGUACAAUUGUUUUACAUAAUAAUAAUGGAUUGGAUUUAUAUAGCGCUUUUCAAGGCACCCAAAGCACUUUACAAUGCCACU